rnacentral:rRNA from 1 species
UACAGAGGGUGCGAGCGUUAAUCGGAAUUACUGGGCGUAAAGCGCGCGUAGGCGGUUUUGCAAGUCGGGUGUGAAAUCCCCAGGCUUAACCUGGGAACUGCAUUCGAGACUGCAUUGCUAGAGUAUGGGAGAGGGAAGUGGAAUUUCCGGUGUAGCGGUGAAAUGCGUAGAUAUCGGAAGGAACAUCAGUGGCGAAAGCGACUUCCUGGACCAAUACUGACGCUCAUGUGCGAAAGCGUGGGGAGCAAACAGG